GGUCUAUGGGAGAGGCCUAAACGAAAGUGUUUUGUGUCAGGCAUCUGACCCGAAACUCAGCCAUUGUAACCCCUAUGACCUGCACAUAUAUGUCCAGAUGGCCUGCAGGAGCCAAGAAGCCUGGAGCAGCCAAAAAAACCACAAAGAAAGUGAAACAGGCUGUUCCUGCCUUAACUGAUUAACCAGCAUUACAACAUUCCAACAUUGUGACUUUUCCCUGCCCCACCUUAACUGAUUAAUCAACUCUGUGACAUUCUUCUCCUUGACAAUGAGUCCCAUGAUCUCUCCACCAUUCACCUUGUGACCCCCUCCCCUGCUAACAAUAGAUAACCACCUUUAACUGUAACUUUCCACUGCCUACCCAAGCCCUAUGAAGCUGCCCCUAUCCUAUCUCCCUUUGCUGACUCUCUUCGGACUCAGUCCACUUGCACCGAAGUGAAUAAACAGCCUUGUUGUUCACUCAAAGCCUGUUUGGUGGUCUUUUCACAUGGAUGCACUUGACAUUUGUUGCCGUGACUUGGAUUGAGGGACCUCCCUCAGGAGAUGAAUCCCCUGUCCUCCUGCCUUUUGCUCCAUGAGAAAAUCCACCUCUGACCUUGGAACCUCGGACUGGCCCAAAAAGCACUUCACCAAUUUUAAAUCGGAUCUCCUCAGCUUACUGGCAAGAGUGAUGCUGCCCAAUCACCUUGGAAGCCCCCUGGACCAUCACAGAUGCUAAGCUUCGGAUAACUCAUACAGUGGAAGGACUAGGGCCCUGGGGCCAGGGGAGACCCAGGGGAGACCCAGCCUCCAAGGCGUGCCACAGGGGAGCUUUACCCAGAUGGAGACCGACUCUCCCCAUGUCCCAGCACCCUGCCUGGCAGCACAAUGGAACCAGGGAUGGGGCUGCAGGACAAUACCAGCACUUCAGGAACUGUGGUAAAGAGUAAGGGCCCAAGGUGUCACACCUUGGAUUCACCAUAGUCGGCUGAAACCAGCAGCAGCAGCGACUCCUGAUGAUGACCAGUGGAUUAGCCAACAAGACCCAGAUCACCCCACCCGAAUAGUCCUACCGCAAAACCCAACCACCAGUAAGAAGGACAACUGCCCUGAUCUGACCACACCAGAGGUUGGUCAGUCUAUGUAUGACUGAAGCUUGAGGAUCCUGCAAGCUCUAUGUAGUCACAUCCCGGAAGCUGACUAGUUUACGCACAGCCAAAGCUAAAAGGACCAUCUCCAGAUAAGUAAAUGUAGAUACAAUUCAUAAGCCUAGCUAUAAUUCUGUCAAUACUGAUUGUUCUGUUGUUAUAUUAUUACUGCAAAUGCUUCAAAUGUCUAUGCCCAGAGAAAGGUUUGCUGUGCCCAUGUGUAGUAUAAGCAUGUUUCUAUUACAUACACUGAUGUUCUUACCAUUUUUGCCUACACUAAAAGGGGAGAAAUCUCUAAAAAAAAAAAUGCCCACACUGUGUAGACACUACCUGAGUAAGGAAUACCAUAAUUACAACUCUACUGGACCAUACCUACUAUAAAUGUACAGAAACAAAGUUAGGAACCUGCACAUACAACCAGACCACCUACUCAGUCUGUGACCCAAGAAAUAAUCAGCUAGAUGUGUGUUAUGAUCCUAUGUUCUUACCCUAUGAAUUCUGGUUUAAGGUACACAUUAAAUCAGAGAAAAAAAAAAGGAGAGCUUAUAGCUUGAACCAAAAAAGCCCCUCCCUCCUAUAAAGGGCCUGUUUCCUUGUACUUUGAUGCCUGCCAUGCCACUUAUGUUCAUAAUCCCAAAAACCAGAUUAUAAGACAAGGACAUGCAAUCCAUUAAAUUUUACUAUCUUAAAGCCAGAGCUACCUUUUUGGUCUACAGGACGGACAGCACUAUUAUGAGUUAAUAGACAAGGAGCAGGCCUUGGAGUUCCACUACUAAUUGUCAAAAAGACUAGAAGGACCCAAAUGCUUCCAACCCCACAAUUCCGGGUCCAUAAGUCAUUCUAUAAGCAUUUUCAUCAGACAGUGCCUGAGCUUCCCCCAUCAACUGAAAACUUAUUUGCUCAACUAGGUGAAAACAUAGCUGGCAGUUUAGGAAUUUCCUCAUGCUGUGUAUGUGGAGGAACUAAUAUGGGGGACCAGUGGCCAUGGAAGGCAAAGAAAUUAAUGCCACAAGAUAACUUCACUUCGCUUAACCCUGCCAGUGAAUCAACAGCCUCAGUCAGUGUUUGGCUGUGAAAAAUCUCCAUAAUUGGAAAGUACUGUAUCACCUGAUGGGGAAAGGCUUUCACAGAGGCAGUAGGAGAAACAACUUGCCUAGGACAACAGUAUUAUGAUGAGUCUAAAAACAAAACUCUAUGGAGAAAUGCCCAGAACGAAUUCUAUUUACCAGAUCCAAACCCUUUCUCUCUUUUUAUUAUUAUUAUUAUUAUUAUUAUACUUUAAGUUCUAGGGUACAUGUGCACAACG